GUGGUACACCACCCAAUCCGCUUCCCUAAUAAGGCUUCCAAAGCCCCGUACAGGCCUCGGAGCCUCCGUCCUUUCCUAGCUAGGGACGGGCGGGGUAGUACCCAAUCCGCGUCCCUUAGAAACCUUCUAAAAACCCAUUACCUUCCAUUCUGCAAUCCCCAAAAACUCAAACCAGCAUUUGGAAUUCGAGCUUUCUUCCUUGCGAUUUUCUUCGUCGGCUUCGUGUAAAAGUGUCUUCGAGAUUUCUCAAAUUCCGUUUCGAGGUGGGAUCAGAGGCAUAAGCAGUGGUGACGAUGCUUUCGUCUCUAGGUAGAAUAGAAAACAAGACUUCGUUGGACAAAAUUUAUUAAGUAUGGAUUGUUUUUACCAAUGCUUCUAGGGAAUCCUCUUACGCAAUCGCAACAUAAGAGUCUUGCAAGUGUAUAGAGUAACAGUAUCUCAAAAUUGCUCAAGAAAUUUGAGCUAAUUUUAUUUUUGAAAAUUGGCUAAUAUGUUUUUACUGUAAAUCGGAUGACAACAAAAUGUGAAUCAUCAAUGUAAAUUUUUUUAAUUAACUGUAUCUAAUGCAUUUGUGAUUUUCCGAAUAUGCACUAGAACUCUACAAACGAUACUCUCCUCUAUGUAUGUGCAAAUGUUUCAAAAGAGGUACCGGGUGAAUGUUUUAAGCAAGAUAGAUUCUUAUCGCUUGCUCAGAUCUGAGAAGAUUAUACCCCUCAAGCAUGAAACUAUGGUGGAAAAUCAAUAGUAUGUGACAAAAAGACAUUGAAAAUUCGCCUUAAAGUUGGUGUUGGCGAAGCACCCAAUGUGAACUUUAAGGCGAAUUUUCAGCGUCUUCUUGUCACAUACUCUUGAUUUUUCCACUAGAGUCUCAUGCUUGGGAGUAUAAUCUUCACAGACCCGAGUAAGCAAUAAGAAUCUAUCUUACUCAAAACCUUUACACGGUUCCUCUUUUGGAACGCUUGCAUGUACAUGAAGGUGAGUAUUGUUUGUGGAGCACAAAUGCAUAUUCCUAAAAUCAUGAAAGCAUUAGAUAUGGUCAACUAUAGAGCAGAAUUUUCUAUGUUGAGGAUCCACAUUUUGUUGCCAUCUGAUUUACAAUAAAAACAUUGGGGAUACUACUACUUUGUACACUUGCAAGACUUUUAUGUUAUGAUCGCGUAAGAGGAUUCCGUGGAAGUAUUAGUAAAAAUGAUCUCUAGUAUUGCUGAUAUCAAAGAGCAAAUGCAUCUCUGAUAAGGAGGUUAUUCUGAGUUAGGAAUGUCAAUGGUCUGCAUUGAAACCAACUGCUACUACUUCUGGCACUGAAUGUUGCCAGCUUGCAAGAAACAAAAGGGACAACUGAUACCACAAAUGAAAGCUCACUCAUCAUGUGGCGGAAAGUGGGAUUGGCUGAUGGGGUAACUAAUGAUGUCGUAGGAUUGCAAAAAGAGUCGAGUGAGCCUGAUAACCUGAAGAAAUCAGUUAAAGCAAAGCAAGACCUCCAUCUUCAAACGGUGUUAUGAAUGCGCAAGGUCUUCAAAGUCUCACCUGUUGAGAAUAGCUUGAAAGAAGCUAUUGAUUUGAAACAUGCAACUGACAAACUGAAGAUAAUCUCCUUGAUGACAAUCCUUAGUUGGUGGCAUGCAAAUAGACUUGAGAAAAGAAACACCAUAAUAGUUCAUAUUCUACUGGAAAGGGGCCAAAGAUUUUGAAGCAUGGUUGGUUGACUGCAUCCACCGUAUGGCCCAUCAGAUCAACAGUUUGGAUCACUUAAUCAUUGGCCCCACUUGUACAAACUGAAGAUGAUCAUCCUUGUGUCAAAAUGGAGAAUCGGAAAUCGAAGUUAUUGGCAUAUAUCUUCGUGCGGCCUUACAAUUUCUACUUGCCGCAUCGAUGUUCGAGGUUCGCAAGAUGGGAAGCGCAACACUAGGAGAAAAAACUCUGUCAACAGAGAUCUAUAUCAACACACCAAUAGUCUUGAAGGCAAGAAUCAUCACCAUCAUCUGCAAUUGAUGUAACUAAUAUACAUGAGGAUGGCGCACGCCUUGGGUCCGAAGCGAAGGGAGUAGAACCGCUUGCCAUUAGAGCUACCUGUAGCGGCUCUCACCUCCUUAAUCAUGCUGAAUUUGUGAUGGACUCUACUGAGAUCACUAUCAGCAUUGAAAGCUGAUUAGUGGAAAGAUGGGGUGCAAGGUAUCGGCUAGCAUUAGAGUAAAAAUCAACAUCUAAACGGUCAAUCCCAAAGAUAAAAAUGUACAGAGAUCUCAGCAAUUUGUGGAGACAUUAUUCAGUGGCCCACACCCUUGAAUCCAAAAUUUGAAGCUCCAGCUGCGUAAGUAUGUCAUUUAUGUAUGAAAGCGGCCCCAGCAUCAAGUGCAUGAUGAAUACAUGUAAAUUGAUUUCUCAACUUUAAAGCGAUUGUUUGGUAUCAGUAAGAGAAAUUCAAUCCCAAAAUGCUGCCAUUAGAAAUAAUGUAUCAGUGUUGUACAGCUAUUCUUUUCUGUAAGAAAACAGACUACCAGGUUUUUGUUUGAAGAGGAAUUAUUGUACAAGGUCCCUACUAUGCCUCAAAAAUAUUAUUGAUGGGAAGAUCUUAAUCA